GGUGUGAUGGUGCACACUACUCCAGCACUUGGAAGGCAGAGCCAGGAGGGCCACCACACGUGUGAGGACAGCCUGGGCUACGCAGCAAGACGAUGUCCUAAAUCAAAAACAGAAGCUAACCUAUACCAUAUGAGUACAUUUUAAAGGACAGAAACUGUCACAUGCCCACAAACUGGAAGACACUUCUGGAGAGAGAAUCUGAGGUCUAUAAACCCCAGCAUACCAGCUGAACAAUCUUGCAGUAGUUACUGACCCACAGAAGAAAGCUACAAUCACUCUUGAUUCUUCUGUAGCUUUACAAUGUAAUACCUUUGUCCCUGAAUCUGUACGGUACAGAAGAAAACCUGUAUCUCCUUAUUUGGUCUCAAUGUUUGGUAAGUAAUGUUACUUAACUGUGAUAAGUCUGAAUUUCUCUGCUUCAGAAGUGUUUAUUCUAUCAACAAAAUGCCAAAACCAAGAAUAAAAAGAUAACAUACUUAGAAAUAGGAAAUCUGAUAAACGUCAACUAGGGUUAAGAAAACAAGACACUACAUCAUGCUGAAACUCAAUUAUUUCACAAAAAGCCCUCUCACUGUUCAUCCCAGUUUCUUUAGCAGAAAUGAUAAAUGAAUAUCUAAGUAAAGGAGCGACUCUCCUUAGUGCAGUUUAAUGGCAGCAGCAGAGGUAAGCUUUAAGACUCCCUUUCAAUACAUUAUACCUGAGAUCAGAGACCAAAAACAAAAAACAAAAACAAAAAACAAAAACAAAACCAGGAAGUUCACUAGCAAAGUUUCUCAGAGCAAGUACAAAUGUGGAGCGCAAUAGAACUGAGAACUCAGAAAUAAACCUAUAUAUCUGUAGCCACGGGCUUCCAACAAAGAAAGGAGAACUCUCCAGCAAACAAACGGUGUAAAAGACUGAAUAAAUCAGACACAAAUGCGAAAGUACACGGUAAGAUCAGCAGAGGAA